rnacentral:rRNA from 1 species
GACGAACCGUGCAAACGUUAUUCGGAAUCACUGGGCUUAAAGCGCGUGUAGGCGGGCCGGCACGUCGGUCGUUGAAAUCCCCCGGCUCAACCGGGGAAGCGGCGCCGAUACGACCGGCCUCGAGGGACGUAGGGGGGGGCUGGAACUUCCGGUGGAGCGGUGAAAUGCGUUGAGAUCGGAAGGAACGCCCGUGGCGAAAGCGAGCCCCUGGACGUCUACUGACGCUGAGACGCGAAAGCCAGGGGAGCGAACGGG